UGGGGAAUUUUGGACAAUGGGCGCAAGCCUGAUCCAGCCAUUCCGCGUGAGUGAAGAAGGCCUUCGGGUUGUAAAGCUCUUUCGACAGGAACGAAACGGCGGGUUCUAAUACAACCUGUUAAUGACGGUACCUGAAGAAGAAGCACCGGCUAACUACGUGCCAGCAGCCGCGGUAAUACGUAGGGUGCGAGCGUUAAUCGGAAUUACUGGGCGUAAAGCGUGCGCAGGCGGUGACUCAAGUCAGAUGUGAAAGCCCCGGGCUUAACCUGGGAACGGCAUUUGAAACUAGGUCGCUAGAGUGUGGCAGAGGGGGGUAGAAUUCCACGUGUGGCAGUGAAAUGCGUAGAGAUGUGGAGGAAUACCGAUGGCGAAGGCAGCCCCCUGGGUCAACACUGACGCUCAAGCACGAAAGCGUGGGGAGCAAACAGG
rnacentral:rRNA from 1 species